NNNNNNNNNNNNNNNNNNNNCGAGAGCGGCCGGCACCGCGCAACCACCUUUAAUACAAAAUAAAUUAAACCCUCCCGGUCGGUGGUGACACAGGCGGCGGGCGGCUACCGGGGGGCCGGGGUGGCGGGGGGGCGGGCACAGGCGGCGCAGCACAGCCGCUCGUAGUAGGGGUAGACGCACAGGCGGGCGCGCACCACCGCCGCGCAGCUGGGCGACGCGUCCUGGCAGCCGGCGUCUGCGCGAGCCGAGGGGAAACUGAGGCACGGCACGGUGGCGGCGGGCCCAGGCGUCCGGGCAUGGGGGGCCCAGGCGUCCGGGUGGGGGGCCCAGGCGUCCGGGGGCUUACCGAGCUCCGGGGCGCAGGGCUGGCUGUUGCAGGGCUGCUGGCUGGGGGGGCGCAGGUGGGGCGGGCACAGGGUGCUGAGGGUCUUGUUGGGGGUCAGGCAGUGCACCUCGCGGGCCUGCACCCCCCCCAGGCACGAGCGGGAGCACUGCGGGGGGGGGCGGCGCCGUGGGGCAGGGGCACCCCAGCGGCAGGGAUCCGUGGGGCUGGGGGCACCAGGGACCCCAGGGGCAGGGAUCYGUGGGGCUUGGKGGCCCAGGGCACCCCAYGGACAAGGAUCUAUGGGGCUUGGGGACCCCAAGGACAAGGAUCUAUGGGGCUGGGAGGCCCAGGGGGACCCUAUGGACAGGGAUCCAUGGGGCUGGGGGGCCCAGGGGACCCCACGGGCAAGGAUCUAUGGGGCUGGGAGGUGCAGGGGACCCCAUGGACAAGGCUCUGUGGGACUAGGGGGCCCAGGGGACUCUAUGGGCAAGGAUCUAUGGGGCUGGGGGACCCCACAGGCAAGGACCUAUGGGGCUGGGGGCCCAGGGCACCCCAUGGGCAGGGAUCUAUGGGGCUGGGGGACUCCAUGGGCAGGGAUCUAUGGGGCUGGGGGGCCCAGGGGACCCCAUGGACAAGGAUCUAUGGGGCUGGGGAGCCCAGGUCACCCCAUGGACAAGGAUCUAUGGGGCUUGGGGACCCCCAUGGACAAGGAUCUAUGGGGCUGGGGAGCCCAGGUCACCCCAUGGACAAGGAUCUAUGGGGCUUGGGGACCCCAUGGACAAGGAUCUAUGGGGCUGGGGGGCCCAGGUCACCCCAUGGGCAAGGACCUAUGGGGCUUGGGGACCCCAUGGACAAGGACCUAUGGGGCUGGGGUACCCCAUGGACAAGGAUCUAUGGGGCUGGGGAGCCCAGGUCACCCCAUGGGCAGGGAUCUAUGGGGCUGGGGGGACCAAGGGGACCCUAUGGGCAAGGAUCCAUGGGACUAGGGGACCCAGGUCACCCCAUGGGCAGGGAUCUAUGGGGCUGGGGGACCCCAUGGACAAGGAUCUAUGGGGCUGGGGAGCCCAGGUCACCCCACGGACAAGGAUCUAUGGGGCUGGGGGACCCUAUGGGCAGGGAUCUAUGGGGCUGGGGGGGCCAAGGGGACCCUAUGGGCA
rnacentral:lncRNA from 1 species